AAUAAGCUCGGCCAUGAAAUUCCAUGUCUAACUUUAAACAUCCGUCUUAUUUAAAAUAUUUUUUAUUAGUAUUUCUAUUUUUAUUAUAUUAUGAAACAUGAAUAUUACUUUAUAUGUGAACUUAUGUUUUUUAGUUUUUUUUAAAAAAAAUAAAUAAGACGGACGAUUAAAAUUGGAUAUGGAAACUUAUAGCUGCCUUUAUU
rfam:Oryza barthii chromosome 4, whole genome shotgun sequence.